CUUUGAACUAUUAAUAGUAACACAUUACUUGCCACAGAGCUCACAACAGAUUGUGACAUACCGUUGGAUCUUGACCUCCGUGUCUAGUGCAGAGAAUAAGUGACUCCUGAGGAAAAAAGGACAGAAAUUUGAGGCAAAUUAAGAAAAAUAGAGGAAGACACAUGGAGUACCAGGAUGCAGGGUGAGAAGACCCACAUCUCCUUGUGCUUAGGGGCAAUGCUCUUUCAUACGCAAAGGCCAUCAAGGUGCUCAGUGAAGAGCAUUCCUUCAGAAACAGAAGAGUCCUGAGAUUGAGGCUUCCUUUUAAGGCACUUGUUUUAGAUGACUUUUUCCUCUGCCAUUUCUAAAGAUAUCAGAAAUAUGUGAUCUUAGAGUUUGAAGCAAAAACAGACAUGUUUAACUGAACCAGUUCAGCACCUGUCCCUAGGGCUUUCCUGACAGAGACCUCACUAUGGCCCUGAUUUAGCCUAAGGGCAGUUCUAAAUAACUUGGACAGGUUUGUAGGCAGUGUCUUUGAGACGACAUUUAACGACACCAACGCAAAUCUACCCACAACUGGUUUUAACACCACAGUAACUUUACAAGGAAGGUGGGGACUCUAGGGCUUAUCACUUUCGUCUAUGGCUUUCAUCCCAGUCAACUUCAUGCAUCAACCAAAAUGCGAUAUUUCUGAUAACCAGUAUUUGACUAUUCGGUUAUAUUUCUCCUGCUGUUGACCUGUUCCCCCUUGCCUUUCUGUGCGAUUGCUCCUAAACAUGUUCCUUCUCUUUCACUGUAAACCUCUAUUCUUUCAUAAAUAAAUUGAUGGUGUACCUCA